rnacentral:misc_RNA from 1 species
AAACAACACAAAGCCCCUUCUAAAAGAAUGGAUCUAGAGAAAGAAUUUGAAAUCUCCACGGCUUCUAAUAGUACCGAUGGCCCACAAAUAUCGGGCUCCUCAAUGCCCGCGGCUCUACAAUUUGUCUUCGGUGUGCUUGGCAACCUGAUUGCCAUUCUUGCACUUUUCACUGCUAGAAAGAAACACAAAUGGAGACCGUUUUACAGACUGGUUCUAGGUUUAGCUUUGACUGAUGGUGGAGGGAUUUUGUUGAUUUUUCCAACAAUCUUUCUUCGAUAUGCAUCGAAUUUCACCUACGAUUUUCCAAAACCUCUCUGUGACUACAGUUCAUUUAUGUUCAUAUUCACGCUGACGUCUUCGGCAAUGAUUGUCUGCGCAUUAUCUUUUGACCGCUUUAUGGCCAUUUUGUAUCCGUUUCGCUACAAUAUGAUUGGGAAGAAAUACCGAGCCAACAUAAUGUUAGGACUGGUGUGGAUAACCUGUGCUUUCCUUGCAAGCUUGCCACUGAUGGGCCUAGGAUCCAGUUUAUCAUAUUAUCCGGGUUCUUGGUGUUUUUUAAACUUCGUAAGUUUAUCAACUCUAGACAGAGUCAAUUCCUUCAUUUAUUCUCUAAUCGGACUGUUUAUUCUGCUCACAACAUUCAUCUUUAAUCUGUGUGUGGUCAUCACCCUCUGCAGAAAUCUCGCGACAAACAAAAGAAUUUCUCAGAAAAGCAGGAAGAAAAGUGACAUCUUCAACGUUGUCUUCUUGUUGGUUUUAGUUUUGGUCUUUGCAACCUGUUGGACUCCACUUAUGGUAUAAAACUUUUUCAUAUAUAUAUAUAUAUAUCUUUUGCAAAAUAAGGAGUUUUCUUCUUCUUCUUCUUCUUCUUCUUCUUCCUAAGUGUGUACAUUUACUUUUUUAGACCCUUUUAUGUAUUUUUGUUCAUUUUUUUUUUUACUUCAGAUUGUUAUAUUUGGACAUGCCGCGGCGUUGGCAUCGGAUAAUGGCAAAUUGGAAUUGUUUGUCGUCCGUCUUGCAGUCACAAACUCCAUUGUCGAUCCCUGGAUCUAUAUCCUGUUCCGAAAAGAAAAUAUUAUUCUAAUUACACGAAAAAUCGGAAACUUCUGGGGCAAAAUAAGCGUUUCAAGCAGCAGUGUUAGCAAUGACGUCAUACCGUCGUCAGAUGCACGCAAACAAAGCUUUGAAAAUACGCUGUCGUCUGCCAGAACACUAUCUACAGACGAUGUCACUGUUUAGCAAGGACAGUAAGGAGAUAAAUAUGGUUCAUGUCAAUGUGUACGCUUCGAAAGAAUUGAUAAAGAUAUAAAUGUACAUUGAAAAUGAUUAUACAUGCUAUGUCUGUUCGAAGUUUAUAUCUUGUGUACAGAAUUUGUAGUAUAAAACGUCAAAUAU